rnacentral:rRNA from 1 species
GACUACACGGGUAUCUAAGCCUGUUUGCUCCCCACGCUUUCGUGCCUCAGCGUCAGUUACAGUCCAGAAAAUCGCUUUCGCCUCUGGUGUUCCUCCUAAUAUCUACGCAUUCCACCGCUACACUAGGAAUUCCAUUUUCCUCUCCGACACUCAAGUCUCGCAGUUUUGGAAGCAGCACCUGAGUUAAGCUCUAGGUAUUACACUUCCAACUUGCGAAACCGCCUACACACCCUUUACGCCCAGUCAUUCCGGACAACGCUUGCCCCCUAUGUAUUACCGCGGCUGCUGGCACAUAGUUAGCCGGGGCUUGUUCCUUGGGUACCGUCAUUUAUUCGUCCCCAAUCAAAGAGCUUUACAAUCCGAAGACCUUCAUUCACUCACGCGGCAUUGCUGGGUCAGAGUUUCCUCCAUUGCCCAAUAUUCCCCACUGCAGCCCCCCGUAGG